CUAUAAAUACUAUCAGUUCCACCCAUAACGGUUCUUUUCAAGGCUCCUCGACCGCUCUUCUCUUCUCUUCUCUUCUCUCAUAGAUACAACGGCUCUUGUUAUUAGUCAAGACAAUGGUGAAGAUCAUGGUGACGAGGACAAAACAAGAAGGAGGUGGUUGUCAGACAAAUGAUGGGAGACAGACAUUGGAGAAGAUCAAGAUUGAUGGGAUAAAACAAGACCUUUGGUUCAAUCCUUUUCCCUUCAUUGUGAAAGGUUAGAGAAACUUCAUUGGGUUGUUGCAGAAAAUCCAAUAUCCCAAGCUAAAGCGGAAUCUGAAAUCCUUCAGAGUUCUAUAGAGUGGUGCUAAUGCUUUCCAUCUUUUGAUGUCAUGCACUGGUACUGUUUUGUGAUUAGUUGAUUUGUCUUGGUUCUAAUUCAAUCAUUUGUUUUUCUUAUGCUAAUAAUUGCUCUUUGGGUAUUUGAACAAUCUGACCGUUUGUAUUCAGGGACAUUGUGGUUCUUGUUGGGCUUGUUGUGGUGCUGCUGACUCGUUGUCUGAUUGUUUCUGUAUUCAUUUUGGCUGGGUAAAUUCAUUCCUUCAUGCAAAAACUUGCAAGUUUAUUCUAGUUAUGGUUGCUAAUGAUUCAAUUUUAUGUGUGAGGCAGAAUAUCUCUGUGUCAGCAAAUGAUAUCGUAGCAUGUUGUGGUGGUCACUGAAGAGGUCAUACUGUUAUGUUUUUAUACACUUCUUGUACUUCUGAGGAAAUACAUCUUUUCUAUAUAUUGUAGGAUUUUUAUACCCAUCUUAAAAAAGAUAAAAUUAUUAUGCUCGACUAAUAAAUUUUUUCCCGUCAGUGUGACCCUUUAGUUUGAUAUUAUAUGAUAUGAAUCCCAAGCAACAAUUUCAGUCGAAUGAUCUGCUUAAUUUCUCAGUCUGGAUUGUGCAUGAAUGUAUUGCUUGUCUUGUGAUGUUCUUCUCAAACAUAAAAUCAGAAGAGGAACAAACGAGUGUGGUAAGAAGAAGUGCUUCAGCCAAAAACCUGAACGUGGAACUUGAUGUCUGUGAUAUGUGAUUGCUGAUUCUUCAAGUAAACACUAAUUAGGAUUCAAGUUUCUGAAGAUUUGGGGAAUAGUAACAUUUUAAAGCUUCAUAUUUCUCCCCCUCCUAAGUUAUCCGCAAUCUUAAUAAGUACUCUGUCAAUCUUGACAAAGUUAAAACAUUAGUAUCAUCUAUCGUAUACUACUUCUCCAUUUCUGUUAUAUGUCACCAAUUUGGAUUUCAUGUCCCUUAAAAAGAAACUAGGUAAAAAUUUACCAUUAUACUACCCUUGUCAAGUUUUUCAAUAAGGAAAUAUAAGUUAAUCUGUUUUGAUUAAUUAAAUUGGCCAACAAACAUGUAUAAGUCAUUAAAUUUAAAGGUUUUUUUCCCAUUUUCAUAUAGCUGCAAAAGCGGAACAUCUAAACAGUGAAGAAGAAGAUGAUUUCCCAUGUAUUGAAAGUGUUGCUACUCCUCAGUCAUUCCUUAACUUUUUGUUUUUGUGUGGAGAUAUGUUGGCUGCAAUAAUUGAACUUUAUUUCUGUUGAACGGUGCAUGUCCACCUGUAAGCCUACUUUUUGCAUCAGGAGGCUUAUGUAGUUUUCUUUACCUAUCACCUUAAUCUCCUGAUCUAUGUCCUUCAUUCGCCUUGAUGUACCCAUGUCAAACGGGUGCAACUUGGAUAUGGUUGGCCAAAUCAUAUACACGCUUAAAUGAACUCAUGUAAUCUUAUAAUCAGUUCUUGUCAUUGCAGAUUGUCCGAGGAAGUUGUGGAAACAUAACACGAGCUCAAUGAAUGAGCUUAGAAAGCACAUAUCCGCACAGGGGAUUCUUGUUCAAAGAUCUCAUCAUUGUUGUAUGCAGAGAAUUGGAUGAAUGGAGCCGAACUGGUGGUGAUGUCCAAGAAGCUAAUGAAUGACAUGGAAAAUGAAAACAUGCUGUUUUUGGAGAAUAUUGAUGUUCCUUCUGGCUGAAAGAAGUCAUCCUGAGCUGGAAAUCUUCUUUGUAUACAAGAAAAAAGAUGCUCGAGAAUGAGCUACUUGUUAAUUCGUACAGAUCUCGUCUUCAGAAAAGUAUUGAGGCUUUCCUUCCCCUUUGUCCUUGUUAUCCCGAGACUUAUUCAGCCACAUUGUCUCUACCAUUUCUUUGACUACUACUGAACCUGGUUGGUGAUAUAGCAACAGAAUUAUCCAGUGGGCAGAAAGGGAAUUUGAAUACUUUGUGCGGUUGGUUAAAUCCUGCUUUACAUGCAACAUUUUUUGUGUUCAAGCCAGUCAUUAACCAUUGUAAUGCCUAGAUUUUGCUGGAAGUGAUGAAGGGAAACCUCAGCAAGUUCUCUGGUAGAACAGUCGGGGUCGCCCCCAUGACCCCGAGGCUGCCUCGGGGCCCCUAAGGCACGCGUGUGAUAGGGCUCUCAAAUGCUUAUUACUGUGAGUUAAAACCUCACAUUAAAUGAUCGACCUAAUCAAGAGGACUAGAUGUUUUGCUGAACGGAAUUACCUGCAACUGGUGUACGAGUACAGGGAGAACAAUAGCCUGGCUCAUGUAAAUUUAUAUCCAGUAGUAUUCAAGCCUGCAAUGUUUCUAGAAUCAAUAUAGAGGUGAUAAAUUAUGCAACAUCCUAAUGACUAAGAAAUGAAGAUAGAGGAUUAGUAUUUACAAAACCUGUUUCAGAGAAGCAUAAUGAACUAGGUUUUACAGGCUACAAGACACUUUUGUCUUUAUGAGAUGUGUGUCAGAAGUGUCUUUAUGAGAUGUGUGCCAAUAUAGAUGAAGAGCACUAUUGUAUUUUGAGGCAAUAAAACAUUGGUCCUAAAAAUGAUGUUUCUUGAAUGUCAGUAUUUUGAGCCUUAUUUGCGUA